rnacentral:rRNA from 1 species
AUACAGAGGGUGCAAGCGUUAAUCGGAAUUACUGGGCGUAAAGAGUACGUAGGCGGUUGCUUAAGUCAGAUGUGAAAGCCCCGGGCUCAACCUGGGAACUGCAUUUGAAACUGAGUGACUAGAGUUUAAGAGAGGGGAGUAGAAUUCCGGGUGUAGCGGUGAAAUGCGUAGAGAUCCGGAGGAAUACCAGUGGCGAAGGCGGCUCCCUGGCUUAAAACUGACGCUGAGGUACGAAAGCGUGGGUAGCAAACAGGAUUAGAAACCCGAGUAGUCC